AUGACUGCGGUCCCCAUCCUUCUUACCCUCCUCAUUCUCUGCUCAGGGUCCUGGGCACAGCCUAGGUUGAGUCAGGAAGCCUCCAUAUCUGGUUCUGUUGGACAACAAGUCACCCUCAUUUGUACUGGAAGUGGUGGUGAUGUUGGAGCAUAUGAUGCAUCCUGGCACAAAGAAAUUCCAGGUGAUGUCCCCAAAUUUAUGACAAUUGGCUAUUCUCGACCAUUUAGUGAUACAUAUUACCUAACUAUGACGGACCUCAAGCCUGAAGAUGAGGCCAGUUAUUACUGUUCAACAUGGGAUAGCAGCACAAAUGCUCACACAGUGCUUCAGAUGCAUGGGGAACUGAGACAAAAUUAUUCCCCUGACCUUUACUACCCUACCCAUGCCAUGAUGGUCUAA